rnacentral:sRNA from 1 species
AUACUAAGGUCGAAAAAGUCAUGCUGAUUAUGCUUGCAUAAGGAAGCAUGACCUUGAGACCUGAACAAAAAUGAGAAAGCAGCCAUUUUUCGAAGAAAAAUGAGCGAUUUCGAAUUUUUGAAGUAUUGCGGGAGCAUGAAAUGCGGAGCAAUACGGUAGUAU